UCUUUGUCCUUCAGACAGGUAAGGACCACCGGGAAAAUCUCCGCUUCAACGACCAUCUCUGCCAGGUCCACAGAGUGCUUUGCGAUGUGGCUGAGAGCUGAAAGGACCUGGUGCUGAUAAGCAGAAAAACAGGGUUGAGGAUCAUCUGGGCUAAGUGAGCAAUAGCUCCGACAUCCACCACCGUCUGUGCUAACUCUGGAGAAUGCUUUGAAAUGUCACUGAGGGCCGAGGCAGCAAUCCUUUUCAAAGCAAUUUCUGGCUCCUGGAUACAGAGCACUAAAAGAGGAACGGCUCCCGCAUCCACCACAGCUUGUGACAGUUCUGUGGGUCCAAGAAAAGUAAUUAAAGAAUGAAAGACAUUGAAGCAGACCCUUAUAAUACACAUGCAGUAAAUGGCAUUUGAGAAGCAGGAAGCUCUGUCCAGUACCACAUUCUACUCCUGAUGCAUGUGUGGCCUCAUGGAGUCACACACAACAUUUCUCCAACUUCUUCCUCCCUCCCAAAUUACAUCUGUAUUUCCCCAUAUUUCUGUUGCCUUAGAUAUAAAUAAGUGUCUUAAUUGUCGAGCUAAAAUAGCUAUUUACCAUGUCACUUUAGUCUUUAAUUUGAAGAAAAUACUUAAUUUUUCAAAAGAUUGGUAAUACUACAUUUUCUAUUGUUAGCAAAUACAGGUUAGUGUCUAUAAUUUGUUUUCCUCAAAUUAUCAUAAUUGAAGUCUCAAUAAUAUACAAACAUUUUAUUAAUUCUUUCAUUAAACAAGUAUUAAUGGAAGGUUAUCAUGUACCAGGGUCAUUAAGUUCUGGAGCCUGUGACACACUUCUACAAAUUAACACUACAUUCAUUAGCAAAUGUUUGAAUUUUAAAAAAAAAAAUCUGGUGUGUAAUAUGAUAUAAAAGUGGAGUUUAGCUGCCAUCUCAAAAACCUGGGGAAAUAAGAGGGAUUUUUGUUUUUUAUUUUGUUUUGUUUUUUUACAAACGUAAUAUCAGAAAGACUUGGGUACCACACAACAAUGUAGCAGGUCCCUCAGAAGUAUCUGCUGCACCAUCCACCGGAAGAUGGCCAGGACAGCAGGCGCAGAAGGCAAUCCCUGUUUCUCUCUCUCUCUCUCUCUCACACACACACACACACACACACACUCUUUCAAGGGAAAGAGAAGAGAUACAAAGUUCAGUGUGUGCCGUUUCUAAAUUCAACACUCAAAUUUCCUGUUAAUUAACAGGCUCCUGAGAGAUUCAAACCAACCCAAAUCAUACAGGUGUUAUAUGGUAAUAUCAGUUUUAUAUGUGCCCAUUGGAAUAUAAAGGACAAGAUGGUAAAUACUGCCAACUUGACACCCAGGAGGCAGACCUCCAGGCACACUUGUGAGGGACUGACUGUGUAGAUUAAGGUUAGCCUCUAAGAGUGUCUGAGAAGGAUUGUCUAAUAAGUUCAUUGAUGUGGGGAGACCUAUUGUGGACAAUACCAUUCUCUGAGCCGGGACCCCGGGCUCUGUAAGACUGAGACUGCAAACUGAGCACUACCAUGGAUGACUUCAUUCAUUCCUCUCUGCUCUUGACUAUGGAUGCAACGUGACCAGUUCUUUCAAGUCCCUCCCACUGGGAUGUCCCUGCCCUGACGGGCUGAAACCUGGAAUUGUGACAAACCCUAUCUCCCUCACAGCAUUUUUCACAGCUGCAGGAAAGAAACUGAGACAAUUGGCCAAACAUUUAUCUACAGAAAGUAGAAAGAUGAAUUCACUUCAGGGCUUUCACUCUCAUACAGUUUCCAGGAGUAAAGAGCACACAGUGAACUUCAACUCUUUAAAGGAAAUAUUAAACCAUCUCCAGCUAAAUAAAUAAGUCAUUAAUAACAAAAAUUUAAGGUUCUUUCUCUAAGACACCUAUUUUAUAAUGUGCAUACAUUUUCUCAUGGACCGGUUGUUGGAGUAACAAAUGCUCCCCCACCCAAGUGCUGAACCAUUAAUAAUAAAACACUCGUCCUGAAAUGCUGCCUCGCUCCACCCUAUGCUGCUCUGCAACAGAGCAGUGUUGUUAGGUGUCAGGAGGCUGGGAGCGUCCCUGGAAAAAGAUUUGCAAUACGUGAUGAAAUUUCCAAGGACCUGCACUAGGCCCAGCGACUCUGUGCUUAGAUCCUCCCAUCCUUUACAUCAGUAAAUGUAUAUGGUCCAACGAUGCUGGGAUCUGCCCUUGAAUGCCACAUGGUGUUCCUUGAAAAUAAUAUGACCUAUGACCUUCCCACCUGCAGUCUCUAUUAGCUGUUCUUCCCCAGGUGAGGACACAUUAGCCUGGAAAUAUGGUACACAUCCUGCCUUCAACCCCACUCUCUUUUCAAUGGUGUCUCUCCCUUCUUUUCUCAAUUACUGCUUCCUAGUGUGUCAAGCUAGUGACCACUGGUGCACACCCAGCAUACUUGUCAGUGAGGGCAUGGGCUUGGGAGUCCAUCUUGACCAAAAGGACCUAAGCUGAAGUCUACUUGAGUCUUUAUAAAGAGCUUUUCUGCAAUAGACUAAGAUUCACAAUAGCAAACAGCGCUAUUUUUUCACCGGGUAUGGGCAUGUCUGCAAAUGACAUCUGGCAAGCUUACCCCCAUCUUGUGGAAGACAUCAUCAAUAUUUUGAAGAUGGUUGAGUACAAAAAUGAAAAACAUCUGGGUCCUCCAUGACACUGUUCAGCUUGGAACUGCCAUGACUCUGAACUUUAUGUCACCUGACAUAACUUUUUUUUUAAAGUUCUUAUUGCUUAAGUCACUAUGGUCAAUAUUCUGUAACCUACAGCUAGAAACACGCAGAUACAAUUCUUUUCUGUCCUGUGCUUGCUGUAUGUCCAUAUGUCCACAUCUUCCUUCACUUGCUAAGGAUUCAGAGUGUGCUUCCUGCUGGCUGGAAACUUGGCUAGACUUGGAGGAAGUAAACAGAGUAAAAGCGUGUUCUAGACUAGAACUGGAUCCAGGUGACUGCAGGAACAGACCCCACACGCACAGAGCAGAACCAGGCCUUGGUCUGUGGUGCAUUCCAGGAAAUGUGUGCAGGGGCUUCAUUCCAGGAAGUGCUUCCCAUCUGCUGCCUUCUCCCCCUACCCUUUGCAUUUCUACUCUACACCAAGGGCAACAGGAACCGAACAUCCAGAAAAUUCUGCACAUCUAAACUUCUCCAAAGAAAAAUCUCGGGGAGCUGGCUAUUUUGGUGUGUGUGUGUGUG